GUUAUUAUGGAUCAUACAUUGCCCCCCGCGGGGGGCAAUGUAACGACGCAAGGCCCAUCUGAGCAUCCCGGGUGAAUAAAGUUCCUGGAUUGAACAAGAUGGCAAGCUGGAGAUGAAAUGGACGCGCAUAUGUCGCAGAUGUCUGACAUAUAUGGGCCAUAUGUCAGACAUAUGCGUUACAUCUCACUCUUUCAGGGUAUCGACAUUGCCAAGGAUGGACUGCUGGGUGAUACAAUGAAAGGAACGGCCAAGAAACCGUGAUACGAAACGAAGUGAAAAAGUCCUGCAAUAGACAUAUCCCUAAGGAGGUGCCUGCCGUACAACAAGAUUGAGAAGACCUGCGAUGCGGUAAAGUACUCAGGAUAUAACUCGGUGUAUCGGUAUCUGAUAGAUGCAGACCUCCGGUAAUGUGUUGAAUUUCAGUACAAAGCAGGAGCAGGCAGGAGACUGAAUGUUCGACGCCCUUCCUUUUUGGCUGGACUAAGAUCUGGGUCUUGAAUUGAAGUCCACUGUUCUGGAUCUGGCCAGGGCACGCCCUUCUCACGACGCGUCGUUGACUUGUUUUUUUGGAAGUGUCACUUCCAGCUUCUGUAAUUGAAGACGACGAAGAUAAGGUCGCUUCAAGGGGCUCUAUGGGAAUUAAUUAAGAUAUUUUAGUUUAUAGGCAUAAAAAACCAAAACUAAGGAAGACUUUUAAUUGGAUAAACAACCAGGCGACAAAUGAUUAGUUCAGAUGAUUCAAUUAAUUUGUAAGCCUUUAUUUUUGUGAUACGCUUUUUGGGAAGGCUCGAAAAAUCAUAGCCGGAAUUAUGCUAAUGAUUUGCAAUUCUGGUGACGAGUGCCGGACAUAAUUGCAGUUGUGACACAUUUUGGCGCCGCUCCAGGAGGUCCCGAGCAGAAACCGCAGCAUUGUACUGUGUUCAUUCGUUCGUUGCUCUGAGAGAAAACUGCAGGAAACAUACCGU
rnacentral:lncRNA from 1 species